CAAGAGCAGCCAUCUUGCUUAACUGACAAACUAGAGAGAACUGCAAGGACUCAGUACAUCCCUGGCACAGUCCAUUCUCUCUCACAGCAUAUUGUAUGAGACUGUGUGAGUGCUGCUUCCACGCUACACUAAAAACCCAUGGUCCCUGCAUUAUUUGAGCAACUGACAAGCUUCUGAAGUUCAGGUUCGCGAACGCUGAGAGCAGCACCCAGUGGAUUUGUGGCAGGGAUGCACUCUAUCUGCGCAGAGGAAAACUCGUAGGACCUCCUAGGAUGCAUCUUGGCUCCAAGUUCGUGCAGUGUUAUUAGGAAAUUACAAGUCUAAGCAGCCGCAAAGAGACCGUUAAAUCACAUCACCUGCAGGCAUUUCUGCAUUAAAUGAUAUCAGAGUGGACACAGGAGAAAGAAAAGUCUAUUGUUGUGUCCACCAUAAAAAUAGACGUGUGGAUGAAAUGAUCUUGGAGCAGAAUCGACUAGAGAGGGUGAACUUGGGCAGAAGAAAUCAACUCGGACAAGCCAGAGUCCCUGACAAGGUCGUGAGGUCUCAAGCCAAUGGGAUGACAUAAAAAGGGACAGCGUUUCACUAUGUUGUCCAGGCUUGUUUCAAACUCCUGGGCUCAAGCCAUCAGCCUGCCUCAACCUCCUAAAGUGCUGACAUUACAGGCAUGAGCCACUGUGCCCAGCCAGGAAAUGUUUCAAAUACUUGAGAUUUUUGAUGAACCAAGCUGGCUGGUGUCGCCUCAGUUUGUCUAAAUUACCAAGGACCGCUGGAAUUUCCCUGGGAAUAUGUUUCGGGAAAGGUCAGAAACUCUUCAGUCGUCUUCACGCUUCCACUCAGUAGCAACGUUUUUGCACACUCAUUGACUAUCAACUGGUUGUCUAUGACUCAAAUUACAUAAUGAAUCCAGCACAUAAAUUAUUUACUCAGAUUUAAUGCCAGCAACUGUUAUCUUUGUAUUUUUUUCCCCUCUGCCAGCUAAUCUGGCUCAUUUCAUUGGAAUUUUGGUCAUGCCCAUUCUCCUUCUGCACUAAAUUAACUCCAUAACGUAGUAUAAACAGAACAAGCUUGUGUGUGAUAUGCUUAACUGUUAAUUUACCUAAUUAAACUAAUUCAAUUAAAUCAUUUACAUCUUUUUGGUAACAUGCCAGUUGAUACCACAGCAGAAGUGGGAUGUUUCAGAAGAUGAUUGUUCAGCAAAUGAAUGGAAAAAAAAAUAAAAGGAAAACAAAAUGAGACAACCGUCCAAAUCUCUUGGCUUGAAAAUUAAAUGAUACUGAAAAAAUGCAGCUUUCACGGGGCACUGUGAUUAGAUAUUUUUCUGAAAUCAAUUUUCUCUACAAAUUGGUAUUUUAACAGAGUGAUCACAAUCUAUUGUACAAAAUAUUUUAAACACUAUUUGUACAUUCACAUAUUUGGUAUGUUUAAGUAAAGUGUGCUUGUUCCCACA
rnacentral:lncRNA from 1 species